rnacentral:rRNA from 1 species
GAUGAACGCUAGCGGGAGGCCUAACACAUGCAAGCUGAGCGGUAGAGAUUCUUCGGAAUCUUGAGAGCGGCGCACGGGUGCGGAACACGUGUGCAACCUGCCUUUAUCUGGGGGAUAGCCUUUCGAAAGGAAGAUUAAUACCCCAUAAUAUAUUGAGUGGCAUCACUUGAUAUUGAAAACUCCGGUGGAUAGAGAUGGUCACGCGCAAGAUUAGAUAGUGGGUGAGGUAACGGCUCACCAAGUCAAUGAUCUUUAGGGGGCCUGAGAGGGUGAUCCCCCACGCUAGAACUGAGACACGGACCAGACUCGUACGGGAGGCAGCAGUGAGGAAUAUUGGACAAUGGGUGAGAGCCUGAUCCAGCCAUCCCGCGUGAAGGACGACUGCCCUAUGGGUUGUAAACUUCUUUUAUACUGGAUAAACCUACCCUCGUGAGGGUAGCUGAAGGUACAGUAUGAAUAAGCACCGGCUAACCCCGUGCCAGCCGCCGCCGUAAUAC